UACACAAUAAGAAGAAAGCUUUUCUGAUUUUUUUCAAAGUGGUUGAAGACUUGAAUGAGCUCUUGAGGGGUUGAUGAACUUGAAAUGAAAGUUUUUUUAACUUCAAGAGGGCUCUUGCUUAGGGUUGAAAUGAAUGCUUGAAGAACCUUUCCAAAAUAUUUUUUUGAUUCCCUCCUUUAAGUACCUUUUAUAACUUCAAAUGAUGGUGGAGAGUAAUCUAGGCUGAA
rnacentral:lncRNA from 1 species